AUUGCUGUGGGAGGGGACUGUAGAGAGGAGGAUGCCUAACCUCUGUUCCGCUCACCCCUUCUCACAG
rnacentral:miRNA from 1 species